GACGAACGCUGGCGGCGUGCUUAACACAUGCAAGUCGAACGGAAAGGCCCUGCUUUUGUGGGGUGCUCGAGUGGCGAACGGGUGAGUAACACGUGAGUAACCUGCCCUUGACUUUGGGAUAACUUCAGGAAACUGGGGCUAAUACCGGAUAGGAGCUCCUGCUGCAUGGUGGGGGUUGGAAAGUUUCGGCGGUUGGGGAUGGACUCGCGGCUUAUCAGCUUGUUGGUGGGGUAGUGGCUUACCAAGGCUUUGACGGGUAGCCGGCCUGGGAGGGUGACCGGCCACAUUGGGACUGAGGUACGGCCCAGACUCCUACGGGAGGCAGAAGUGGGAAAUAUUGCACAAUGGGCGGAAGCCUGAUGCAGCAACGCCGCGUGCGGGAUGACGGCCUUCGGGUUGUAAACCGCUUUCGCCUGUGACGAAGCGUGAGUGACGGUAAUGAGUAAAGAAGCACCGGCUAACUACGUG
rnacentral:rRNA from 1 species